rnacentral:rRNA from 1 species
AUUGAACGCUGGCGGCAAGCCUAACACAUGCAAGUCGAGCGGUAGCACAGAGAGCUUGCUCUCGGGUGACGAGCGGCGGACGGGUGAGUAAUGUCUGGGAAACUGCCUGAUGGAGGGGGAUAACUACUGGAAACGGUAGCUAAUACCGCAUAACGUCGCAAGACCAAAGUGGGGGACCUUCGGGCCUCAUGCCAUCAGAUGUGCCCAGAUGGGAUUAGCUAGGAGGUGGGGUAACGGCUCACCUAGGCGACGAUCCCUAGCUGGUCUGAGAGGAUGACCAGCCACACUGGAACGGAGACACGGUCCAGACGCCUACGGGAGGCAGCAGUGGGGAAUAUUGCACAAUGGGCGCAAGCCUGAUGCAGCAAUGCCGGGUGUGUGAAGAAGGCCUUCGGGUUGUAAAGCACUUUCAGCGGGGAGGAAGGCGGUGAGGUUAAUAACCUCACCGAUUGACGUUACCCGCAGAAGAAGCACCGGCUAACUCCGUGCCAGCAGCCGCCGUAAAAC